GGCUGCCUGUGUGCUUGGUGUUGGUCCAUGUUUAGUGCUGGUUUGUCUGCGUGUUGCAGUCUGGCAGCAGCGCUCGCACAAUGCCAGCAGCCAAAGAGAAACCUGAGAUCAUAGUAUUUGGUGUAAUUAAGUCUCUGUGACAA